rnacentral:tRNA from 1 species
GACUCAUUAGCCAAGAGGUAAGGCACUUGACUUUUAAUCAAGGUAUCCGGAGUUCGAAUCUCCGAUGGGUCACCA